rnacentral:tRNA from 1 species
GAGAGUAUAGCUCAGUGGUAGAGCGCAUGACUAGCAUGCUCAAGGUCCUGGGUUCAAUCCCCAGUACCUCCA